rnacentral:rRNA from 1 species
CGGGACGGGGUGGAGGUAAAUAGCUUGGGAAGUCUAGCUUAUGGAGGGGGAUACUAAAAGGGAACUGUAGCUAAUACCGCGUAAUAUCGAAAGAUUAAAGUGUGGGACCUUCGGGCCACAUGCCAUAGGAUGAGCCCAAGUGGGAUUAGGUAGUUGGUGAGGUAAAGGCUCACCAAGCCGACGAUCUCUAGCUGGUCUGAGAGGAUGACCAGCCACACUGGGACUGAGACACGGCCCAG